CUUACAAUAUUUAAUAAAUAUGUUGCAGGCCUGUCUUACACACCAAGGUAACCUAUAAUCAAAGCACAGAAAUUGCCAUGAAUAUUUAAAGGCCUUUUAUGCUCCCAAAGGCAGAGCCUAAAAAAAGUCACUCUUUAAGCAAGUGGGAACACGGAGCUGGUACUUCUUGCCUGCGGUAGGUGCUGGGUAACGUGGGUGAAUGGGCUUCUUUCUUGAGCUUGGCAGCUCUGUGCCUUCCUCAUUGUGGGAACAGAAUUCUGAACAAGUGGGCAGCCUGAGAGGGUGUUCAUGACCCUGCUGUGCCUGGCUUCUUCCACAAGGGCCAUGUACACUGGGAUGGCCCCAGCGUCCCUUUCCUGUUUUUCUCUCCCAGCUUCUAAAGGUCAUGGGUGACCAGAGCAGGUUAAGGUCGCAAACAGCAGCGCCAUUCUCAUUUCUCCUGUCAGCAAGCAAAUAACAAGUGAAAAAGUAGCUCAUCGUUCUUCAAAUGGUGGUGAUGGCGGGUUUGUAUGUCUGGCCUUGGCGGGGCAGAAAGAAGGGAACAUUGUGUAUAAGUUAAUAACGGGGAAGGGAAAGAACCAGAUCCUUAAGGCUCUGGGUCUCUCUCCCUGUCUCCACUCAUAAAAGAUUUCAGUUGCUAUUAUUGUGCUGAAGUUUUUUACUCAGGCUCAUUUGCAGUCUCUUGGGGCUUUUAUAAAGUUUGUCACCCAUUUCUUCCUGCUCCGAACAGGCUGGCAGUGAGUGCCGUGACUGGGGAGCCCUAACCGCCCCCCCCUUCCCCGUCACCCUGCUCCCUGGACUCUGGCAGACACACUUAGUAGGUUCUCACCACUGAGUCGGAUUAGAAUAUUUUGUUUGAACUGGAAAAACUGAAUGACCCCAGGGAAGACCUGUGGGGAUCUUCUUGGGACCUUGUCAGUGUGCAGCCCACUCUUCCAGGCCCUCCAUGGGUCAGCCCCUUCCCGGCUUUGGGCUCUUGUCUCCUAAGCAUGAAUGAGCAGCCUCCAGGGUGAAAGAGACCAAAAUCAGCAGAGGGAAGGACUCAGAGGCACAGAACAGAAGAAAACUUGAAGGAAUCUACAUGUAAUUCUUCAGAGAGAUCGGAGUAGACAUUGUAUCGGAGGAAAGGAGUAGGGAUGCAGUUUAGGGUUAAAGAAAUAGGAGAGGCAAUUAAUGUAAUAAGACAAUAUCAAAGCAAAAUCCAGUGACGAGAUUGGAAUAGAAAUUCCUCAGAAAAUAGGUCAAAAACAAAGCAAAACAAGAGUGGAAAAUAGAUAAAAUGGAUGAGGAUUAAUCCUCAAGGCCCAUCAUUCGGUGGACAGGUGCUUCAGAGGGAGCAGAGGCCAGGAGGGUGUUGUGAGUUCAGGACGGUCCCUGACACCAGCCACUCGUGUCUCCCAAGUGAAGGCUGGUCAGAGCCCAGAGCAGGGAGAGGAGAGGCCCCAGGCAUCUCCAUGUGAAAUCGCGAACAGUCUUUGCCCUUUCAGAAAGCACAGGGCAGACUGAGAAUUGGCUGUACUGGACAUCUCAGCAAUAACCCUGGAAACUUGAAGGCAUGAAGCCAGGCCCCUGAAAUCCUGAGGAACAGAAUUCCAACCUGGAAUUCUAACCAGCCAAGCCUGAGAGUAGAAUUAGAGAGAUUUUCAGACAUUCAAGGCUCAAAAAGUUUAGCUCCCAUGCAUCAUUUCUCUGAAACUCCUAAAGGAUGUGCUUGAGCAAGAUGAAGAGGGAAGCCAAGAACAAGCAAGACGUGUGAGUCAUCUGAAUGCUCAGGGCGGGUCUGGACCUUGUGACUGCUGCUUUGCCUACCACCCCAUGGCAUUGCCACUUUGAGCACUUCGGGAAUCCCACCAAGGCCCAGUAGCUACCUGCCUUGCCGCGAAAGAAGAAUUACCACCUACCUGCUUUGUGGCGUGAGUGGAUGUUUAGAAAGCCUUUGGAACAUCUCCAGAGAAAGGCCAACUUAAUAUAAAGUGAGAUUUUGUUACUAAUGGGUGAGAUUCUCACCUUCAGAGAGCCUAUGAAUUUUCUCUGCAGUUAUGCAGGAUAAAGGGAAAAACAAGACAUCUCCAGAAAUGUAA